rnacentral:rRNA from 1 species
GCUCAGUAACACGUAGACAACCUGACCUACAGUGGGAGAUAAUCUCGGGAAACUGAGGCUAAUAUCCCAUAGGCCUCCGGCACUGGAAUGUCUGGAGACCAAAAGCUCCGGCGCUAUAGGAUGGGUCUGCGGCAGAUUAGCUUGUAGGCGGUGUAAUGGACCACCUAGGCUAUAAUCUGUAAGGGUCGUGGGAGCGAUAGCCCUGAGACGGAAUCUGAGACACUAUUCCGAGCCUUACGGGGUGCAGCAGGCGCGAAAACUUUACACUACACGAAAGUGUGAUAAGGGAAUUCCAAGUGUGCUUAUACCAUAAGCACUUUUUCGGAGCGCAAAAAGCUCCGGGAAUAAGGGGUGGGCAAGACUAGUGCCAGCCGCCGCGGUAAAACUAGCAUCUCGAGUGGCAGUCACAAUUAUUGGGCUUAGAGCGUCCGUAGCUCGUUCGGAAAGUCUCUGGUGAAAUCCUACGGCUUAACCGUAGGGCGCGCCGGAGAAACUACCGAGCUAGAGGGCAGGAGAGGUCGGGGGUACGUCUGGGGUAGGGGUGAAAUCCUAUAAUCCUAGACGGACCAACAGUGGCGAAGGCGCCCGACAUGAAUGCGCCUGACAGUGAGGGACGAGAGCCAAGAGCGCGAAACGGAUUAGAUACCCGUGUAGUCUUGGCCGUAAACGAUGCCGACUAGGUGGGGUGUGACCUUAGUGGGUCAUGCUAUGCCGAAGGGAAACCGUUAAGUUGGCCGCCUGGGGAGUACGCUCGCAAGGGUGAAACUUAAAGGAAUUGGCGGGGGAGCACUACAAGGGGUGGAAGCUGCGGUUUAAUUAGAUUCAACGCUGGACAUCUCACCGGAGGCGACAGCAGGAUGAAGGCCAGACUGAUGGUCUUGCCGAACACGCUGAGAGGAGGUGCAUGGCCGUCGUCAGCUCGUGCCGUAAGGUGUUAGGUUAAGUCCUAAAACGAGCGAGACCC